rnacentral:tRNA from 1 species
GACCGCGUAGCGCAGCGGCAGCGUGUUUGACUCAUGACCAAGAGGUCUCGGGUUCGAAUCCGGCUGCCGUAU